UGUCACAGUCACUUAUAAAGGGAGGAUGGCUGGACUGAUUUGGACUGAUGGACUUGGGGUGAGGGAGAGGGAUGACGGGGAGAGCAGCCAGAGGAUAUUAUUUCAACCAGAAUCUCACUGCUGACCAGAGUUUGGGACCUUGAGAAGAUGGCGAAAGCCUGUACACGUUGGUGUCCAUCAUGUUACAUGAAGGAUUUUCCACAGAGAUACAAAGCAAAGAAAAUGCAAAGAAGGAACAAAAGUGAGGCACACGUUCUUUGGCUGAAGAAACUGCUUGAUACCAUGAAAUACCAAGUCACAUUUGUUCCCGUUGUUGACUCAAAGAACAGUAGGUCCCGCUGCAAGCCCAAGACCACCAUAAUCAUCGUUGAGCUUGCUUCUCCACCCCAGGAUCUCUAAAUAAAACCUUU